rnacentral:rRNA from 1 species
GGACCCGCACAAGCGGUGGAGCAUGUGGUUUAAUUUGACGCAACGCGGAGAACCUUACCAGCCCUUGACAUCCCGGUCGCGAGGAGUGGAGACACACCUCUUCAGUUCGGCUGGACCGGUGACAGGUGGUGCACGGCUGUCGUCAGCUCGUGUCGUGAGAUGUUCGGUUAAGUCCGGCAACGAGCGCAACCCCUAUUGUUAGUUGCCAGCAUUAAGUUGGGGACUCUAACGAUACUGCCAGUGAUAAGCUGGAGGAAGGCGGGGAUGACGUCAAGUCAUCAUGCCCCUUAUGGGCUGGGCUACACACGUGCUACAAUGGUGGUGACAGUGGGCAGCGACUUCGCGAGGAGGAGCAAAUCCCUAAAAACCAUCUCAGUUCGGAUUGUACUCUGCAACUCGAGUGCAUGAAGUUGGAAUCGCUAGUAAUCGUGGAUC